ACCUGGCUGGCUCAGUCGGUAGAGCAUCUGACUGUUGAUCUUGGGGUUGUGAGUUUAAGCCCCACAUUGGGUG
rnacentral:tRNA from 1 species